GUCCUUCAGUCCUUCUCCAAAGGAAAGCAAAGCUGUGGGCCCCGCUGCAUCUUUGCCUGCUUUUCUGUCUGUCGCACAGAAAGCGAGGCGGCCCUUUCCAGCCACAUCCCCGCUCUCCAGUGACCUUACCGCUACCCGCCAUUUGUCCCUCAGAACCGAGACCGGAGAUUCUGAGCUAGAACAGCACAAACACGGGACAAGCACAUGCAGACACCGAUGCAGACUUUGGGUUGGAGGAAAUCAUGUGUGCGGAACAGAAUGUGAUGGAGAGGUGUCAUUGGGACUAGAGCUGGGCACCUGCAGCACAAGGCCCUGUGUUGAUCAAAUGGACAUCUGGAAAUAGAUGCAGAGCUCCUACAUCAAAAAGCAUGUCAACGAGAAGUUGUCGGGAAUGGGAUUUCAAUUGGAACUCAGGCGAAUGUCUGGAGACAUAAAGACCCGCAAUAUUUCAGGAGGAUUUACCUGCUUUGUGCGAAGCAAUGAGCUCCAGGAGUUGGUGUCCUUCCUCCUCCACGGCUUCCUUGAGAGCACAGUGACUGUCCACGUUCAACUUGAAACUCUGCAAAGGAGCACACGGCCGUCAGGCUCCAGUGAGGCAGUCACGCACAAAACACGCAUGCAGAAUCACUUGCUGCUUUGAAUCGAGAACCACACAGCCCAAUUUACCCAACAGACAGACAAAUUUGCAAUACUAAAAGCUAUUGAUAUUUGGGGUCUAGGCUCUAAACAUUUCCGUUAGAUUAGCAGCACGCAUCUGUUUGGAAGCAGCUCAACAAAUCUAGAAAUUCAUUAGGUUUUUAUGAAAAGUCACACCCCAUAGGUUCUAUCGAGAGUAGCCGUCCUCGAUAAAAUAUAAUGAAUUCCCACCUGCACAUGUGAGCUUUUCUUAAGUACUUAUGAAACCAUAGAAGUUGUCAGCAGAAAAACCCGGAAGCCUGAUGCGCACGUAUAUGCAUCCACUAAUACAGCAUGGUUUGAUUCAUCUCUGUUCCUCGACUCUGCAUGAGGCACCGGAUGGAGAGGGGCAGCUAGGGGCUAUACUAGGGUUUCUGCGCCUUCUGGGCUUUGUCUUUAAAAGCCACAUUGUGCUAUACUUUAUAUUAAGCAUACAUGACACAGGCCGUGUUAACUCCACACUGGAUUUAAUUUGAAUUGAAGAGCUGGAUAAUCAUAAAUUGUGAGAGUGGAUCUUCAACUCAGUGAUUCAUGAACUGCGUGCCGUCUAUAACACCACUGGAGACCUGGGGACCAAUAAGCAUGGAUUUUGGCCUUAAUGGGCAGCGGAACUUGGCGAGUACAGAGUGAGUUGUCUUGGAUGCUCAGCGGUGAAUGUGAGCUGUUCUUUACUUUUUAGAGGAACAUUUAUUUAUUUUUUUUUAAGUACCAAAGACAGAAUCAGAACGAAAAGAAAACCUGGAAGUGAGAGAAAUACCAGAUGCAGCAUAGAAAUAAGGAUUGGACUAAGGCAAUUCAAAGUGAAGAACUGCGCCAGCCAGCCUUCCUUCACAAGAUGCGGUAUCAUCACAGCGAACGUUCUAGAAAGGACACUAUCUGCGCUCCCAACACACCGCUCUGCAGUUUUUCCCCAUUUGUGCCUUCGGCUACAGAUGAAGAGAAGAAAGAAAAUUGGAGCAAAUCUUCUGUCUUUUCAAGUUCCUCUCCAUGCGUGAGAGCAGCGUGUGCCAGAAUCCAGUUCUUUGGCUGUUCUGAUGAUAAAUACCAGAUUUUAUUAGUCAGGAGUCUCUGAAUGUGAAAGGCACAUUGAACUGAUGAACUUGUUCCUGCUGUCACCUGAAGAGAUGGUGGGCGCAUGCUGACGAGUAAGACACUUGGUGACACGUCUUCACACAAAGAUUCUCACUCCCUCAGGGCAGGGGGGAAAUAUGUAUUUAGUGGAAAAGCCACAGCUUGAAGUCACUUACUGUCUCUCUGCCCAGGACCUACUCUGUCCCUGGUCAAACAAGUGCUCUUUGGACUCUCAGAGGGCCCCUGGCAAGGAAGCAGGUUAUAAUCACCAUGAGGAGCUCAGCGGCUCCUGCUCACUGCCCCACAAAGCCAUGUACAUAAGCUAAAUGUA